GCCCGGGUGGCGGAAUGGGUAGACGCGGACGACUUAAAAUCGUCUGGCCUUAGUGCCGUGCAGGUUCGAGUCCUGCCCCGGGCACCA
rnacentral:tRNA from 1 species